AGCCAGGCGGGAGUGGAAUGGGCACAAGGGAGGGGCUAAACCCCAGCUCCAGGGGCUCAGCAGGCAAAGGGAAUCACUGAGUGGGGGCACCACCCGUGGACUCCAAUAUCUCAACCUCUCCCUCCACAGGUUGGAGGUGGGAGGAACAACCCCCACCAAACCCAGAGCCGAAAACUGAGGGAGUUUUACAGACAGGACGGAGCUCCUGCACCUCGGAGCCUCAGUUGGGAAUGACCUGGGGUCUUGUCCUGAAGCUGAGUCUGGUGAACGUGCCCCAUUUGUAACAUGAGGGGUACUUCUCUGGAGGGACUGUAUGUUGACAGUGGCAGAGUGGAGCCCUGAAGUCCACCUGAGUGAAUAUACCAGGGCUUGAGA
rnacentral:lncRNA from 1 species